rnacentral:rRNA from 1 species
UACAGAGGUGGCAAGCGUUGUUCGGAAUUACUGGGCGUAAAGGGCGCGUAGGUGGCCUUCUAAGUCAGACGUGAAAUCCCCAGGCUUAACUUGGGAACUGCGUCUGAUACUGGGAGGCUUGAGUGCGGGAGAGGGAUGUGGAAUUCCAGGUGUAGCGGUGAAAUGCGUAGAUAUCUGGAGGAACACCGGUGGCGAAGGCGGCAUCCUGGACCGACACUGACGCUGAGGCGCGAAAGCUAGGGGAGCAAACGGG